CAUGGAGCAGUUGGAGGGCUGGUGAAGACACCUACAUAAUCACUUUCCCAGCAAUGGCUCCUGUGUUCCGGGAUCUGCUCUAGAAGGCUACGGCUGAUGACCCAUCAGAACACCGACCUCUGCUCCAGCUUCGUGCAAACGAGCAGAUUUCUAGGUCCUUGACAUCUUUCUCUGAGAACCGCCCACCAGCAAGCCUCGGCAUGCACAGCAGAGUCUCGGGGACACACUGUUCUCUUUGUUGGAGCAGAAAUCUGUUCGGUGCUGAUUAUGCAGGCCGGCCUUCAACCUCAACGUCAGCGACAGCACUGAGCAAUGAAUGAACGAAAUGUGUUUGAUGCAGAGAGGUGCCCUGGAUGCUCACACUGCAGGACCACACUGUCUGUCCUCACCUUACAGAGUCUGCCAGUGCUGGGACAGCACGGUGCCUCUCAGCUGGGUUCCCUUCAACCUGCAUGAGUCCCAACUACAGCCCCGGAGAAGCACACAGCCCAUCGAGAAACAGAACCCAAGAUCACCAGCUAGCCUGCUGCAGAUGAAAGCUGGCUCCACGUGACCGCGCGGGCAGGCUCCAGGGACUUGUGGAAUGAGUCUGCACUAACAGCCUCUCUGAGACUCAGAGUGACUCCUGUGUUCCAGAUCCCCAA